CCUACGGGUGGCAGCAGUGGGGAAUCUUGCACAAUGGGGGAAACCCUGAUGCAGCGACGCCGCGUGAGUGAAGAAGUAAUUCGUUAUGUAAAGCUCUAUUAGCAGGGAAGAAAAUGACGGUACCUGAGUAAGCAGCCCUGGCUAACUCCGUGCCAGCAGCCGCGGUAAUACGUAGGGGGCAAGCUUUAUCCGGAUUUACUGGGUGUAAAGGGAGCGUAGUCGGGAGUGCAAGGCUGGAGUGAAAGGCGGGGGCUCAACCCCCGGACUGAACUGGAAACUGUACGGCUGGAGGGCAGGAGAGGUAAGUGGAAUUCCUAGUGUAGCGGUGAAAUGCGUAGAUAUUAGGAGGAACACCAGUGGCGAAGGCGGCUUACUGGACUGUAACUGACGUUGAGGCUCGAAAGCGUGGGUAGCAAACAGGAUUAGAUACCCCAGUAGUC
rnacentral:rRNA from 1 species